GGGUGAGGGGGCUGAAUGAUGUGUUAGGAAUGGAGGUGACACUGAGACUCGCUUCUUUCCUUUUUUGCUUGGCAAAUACGGGGUCAGGGUCUGUGUCACAGCAGGGCAGGCUGAGAUCACAGGCCCCUCACUCCUGUAGGAACCCCUGCAGCCAUGUUGGGUGUUCUCCCUACUCUGCUUGAGGACAGAGUGCAGUCCUGUUCUUCGUAACAGCAGGACAUUUGACGUCAUAGAGAAGGGAUCACGGGAUGUGAUUUAGAAAAGAGAACGAGGGAGGAAGAAAAGGGUCGGGGCCAGGGCUGCAUCACAGUGGCUGCGUUCCUUAGUGACUUGGUGCUGUGAGUCCUGGCUCCUCUGAAGGCCCCUUCCCUGGAACCUGCCAAAGCCAGCAUUCCACACGCAUUGUUCAUUGUCAGCAGGUGGCAGCUAACUGGCCUCAGCCUGUCUGCCAAUUAGCAGAUUUAGGGGUUUUUGGAAACCAGAAGCCAGUGAGCAGCACUGCCACAGGAUGUGGGGACUGAAUCAGACACAAGUGGGUGGCAGGAGCUGGCAAGGUCAGGCACGCUUUUGAGGCUUUGCGUAGACCCACAGACAUUCCGCUUGCGUCCAAUUGUAGGCACUUGAUAGGCAGAGCCACAGGCCUUGCUUUGUUUGUUUUAGUGUCACUUGCAUGGACGUUCAGGAAACAAAAGUUGGAUACCAAUCAAUACAACUGGCUGGGCUUGGAGAUCCAGGAGUCCUGGUUUGAAUCUGAUUCUGCCCCUUCGCAUCCAGGACGUGAAUGACCCAUUGUUCUUGAGGAGAAGGCAUAGAAAUUAAACCAAGAUGCUGGGAGUCUAGGAAGCAGCACCAACAGAGCAGAAAGAAUGUUGCUCCCUGCAUGACCCAGAGGAGGACUUGCCAGCGCCGUUGGAAGGAGCCGCAGGAACCAGCAGCCCCUGCUGCAGCACAGUGAGUGCUCAUGGGCGAAGUGGAUGCAUAUCAAGUCCCUAACACCACAAACCUGGAUGCCAGACUCUAAAGAGACUAAAGGCCCUCUGUCCCACUCCAAUUCCAGCCCAAGGAAAUCUUAAUGCUUAGAAAAGAGACAUGCUGGGAACAUCUCCUGAAUUAUAGCAAACCUUGGAGACGGGCUUUGUGAAGGAGCUUGCUGAGGGAAAUGAUUUGCAAAUUGGGUGCUGUGUGUAUUAUGUGAUAAGCAAGAUUUUCCAGGAUGCAGCCUGAAGCGCAUUCAUACUCGUCAGUCCUCAUGCUCUGACUUUCUGUCUGGAUGAUAUCAAGACGAGCACAAGGACCGGCUGGCAUCAGAGACAUGUGAAUUAAUUAAAGUGUAUCUUAGAUGAAUUCAAUUCCCCUCUGAAUUUCUACCUCUCCUUCCUUUCCUCCCUUUUCUUUUCCUCUUUCUACUUCUCCUCUCUCCCUCCUCUUGCCUUCUUUCUUCUUUCCCUUCCUUUUAUAAGCAGAUAUUAAAGAGCCCUUGUAUACCAAGCAGUAUUCUGGGUGCAGGGGACACAAAGAUCCCCAAAACAUGCCUUUGGUGUCUACAAGCCUGUAUGCUCACUGUGAUAAAUAGGAUGGCACUGAAGGUGACAGUCGCAAAGUACAGACUUCAGAGUCUAAUCUGUGUUUAAUCACUGCUUUGUCCUUUGCUGGGAACAGUCCCCGCUGGGUGAGCUGACCCAUCUCUCUGAGCCUUGUCUCCUUGUUAAAGAGGAGAUGCACCUGCUCACGGUGUAGCGUGACUGCAUUUAGAUGCAGGCAUGUCCGGGACCCAGUAGCAGAGUGUUGGGUUACAAGGAGCACUCAGCUGGCAGCACGUAGGAGUGGGACGCUGGUGACACAAGGAUGUAAGGGUCAUUUGUAAACGCUGAAGCAUUAUGAAAAUGUAAUGGGAGGAGUGGCAAUUGCAUUGGCUGAUAUUUCCAGCACAGUUCCUCAGAAGUCCUGCUCCCUGUGCUCUGCUCAGUAAAUAUUUGAAAGUGGUUGCCUGGUAUCCUGGCUCUGAGCCAGAAGUGCUCUCAGGAAGUGCUGGGGUGGAGAGGGCAGAGGGCUCCCACACACUUAUCUGCAGAGGCUGCUUUCUGAGUUGGUGUGGAAUAAGGAGGAGGCAGAAUAGAUCAGAAACAAGGGCCAGGAUCAGAAGCAGGCAGGGGCCCGAGGCUCCUGGGCAGGAGUAAAAUGGAGGCAGGGGAGGGCUGUGCAGGGGUAGCUUUGGGUACGCUUGAGUUCUUUCCAGUGUCAGCAGUUACCACUGCCACCGCUGGUUCUUGGCAUGUGGAGACAAGGGUGACCACUCUGGCUAACUCACCUUUCAUAGAGUUUUUUUGUUUUUGUUUUUAUUUUUUUAUUAAAUUCCUGAAAAAAAUUUACACAACUUAGAUAUACUUGGUAUGCAGGGAGCCACGCUUUAGUGUCCACAAUCUGAUGCAUUUGGAUACACACACUCGUGCAGUCACUGCCACAGUUGAGGCAGUCUGUGUGUGCUUUGUGUGUGCACAUGUGGUGAGGUCCAAUCUCCCAGCCAGUCCUUACGUGCAGUGCAGAGUAUUGUUCACUAAAGGUAACACAUGUUCAGAGGAUCCCUAGGACUGAUUCAUCCUAUAUAACAGAAACUAAACCAGCUAAGCACCCGCGUGAGCCCUGCCCCUGGCUUCUGAUGAUCACUCUUCCUGUCUUUACUUCUAUGAAUUUGACUAUUUUAGGUGCUUCAUGUAAGUGGAAGUGUGCAGUAUUUCUCUUUUUGUGAUUACCUUGUUUUACUUAGCACGGUGUCCUGAAGAUUUAGCCAAAUUGUCCCAGUGGCAGAACUGUUAAGAGUCCAUUGCAGUCCCAACCCCCGUGGUGAAACUACAAAAGCCAACCCCGCCUCUCAGACAGACAGUUCUAAUCUAAUUUACCCCUUGACAGGCAUCCUGUUCUAACCUAAUCCACAAAUGUCAGCCCCUCCCAAAAAUGUCCUGCCCACUUAAAUAAAGCCUCCUACACAUCAAAAUCAAAUCCUCCAGCACAAACCCACUUUGUUAGAUUUUUCAUGCCACUCCUAGUGGUCCUACCCCUCUAUCUAUCUAUCUAUCUAUCUAUCUAUCAUCUGUCGUCUACCCAUCUAUCAUCUCCCCUUGACCAUCGGCACAGUCUCUAUCCUUAGAGACUUGCCUGCCAUCUCUGCUCCAAUAAAACUUCAUUUUUUGUU